AGAAGCAACAGCCCUAUUGGCGGGGCUAGUUCUGGAAACCUGGAUUCAGCUCCGGCAGGAACUCCGGAGCUCUCGGUCUGCAGGGCCUGGAGGCUCCGGGGUGGG
rnacentral:pre_miRNA from 1 species